ACGGGUGCGUAACGCGUGGGAAUCUGCCCUUGGGUACGGAACAACAGUUAGAAAUGACUGCUAAUACCGUAUAAUGACUUCGGUCCAAAGAUUUAUCGCCCAGGGAUGAGCCCGCGUAGGAUUAGCUUGUUGGUGAGGUAAAGGCUCACCAAGGCGACGAUCCUUAGCUGGUCUGAGAGGAUGAUCAGCCACACUGGGACUGAGACACGGCCCAGACUCCUACGGGAGGCAGCAGUGGGGAAUAUUGGACAAUGGGCGAAAGCCUGAUCCAGCAAUGCCGCGUGAGUGAUGAAGGCCUUAGGGUUGUAAAGCUCUUUUACCCGGGAAGAUAAUGACUGUACCGGGAGAAUAAGCCCCGGCUAACUCCGUGCCAGCAGCCGCGGUAAUACGGAGGGGGCUAGCGUUGUUCGGAAUUACUGGGCGUAAAGCGCACGUAGGCGGCUUUGUAAGUUAGAGGUGAAAGCCCGGGGCUCAACCCCGGAAUUGCCUUUAAGACUGCAUCGCUAGAAUUGUGGAGAGGUAAGUGGAAUUCCGAGU
rnacentral:rRNA from 1 species